GACGAACGCUGGCGGCGUGCCUAAUACAUGCAAGUCGAGCGAUGACGCAUGAUGAUCGCGCCCUUUUGAAGAGCAGCGAACGGGCGAGUAACGCGUGGGGCAUCAGCUUUUGUGCGGGGGACAACAUCUGGGAACGAAUGACACUACUGCCUCAUACCUCUAAACAUAAGAUUCAAGUUUGCAAGAUGCAAUUGCCUCAUUAAAAGAUGAUUCGGGGUUGUAUUAGUUAGUUGGUGAGGUAAAGGCCAACCAAGGCGAGGAUAACUAGCCGACCUGAGAGGUUGACGGCCACAAUGGGACUGGGACACGGCCCAAACUCCUACGGGGGGGAGCAAGAGGGGAACAUCGGCAAUUGGGGGAAGGCUGACCGAACAACGCCGCGGUGGGGGAGAAAGGUUUCGGGUCGGAAAAGUCUGUUUGUUGGGAAGAACGUGGAGGAGGGUAGAAAGCUCAUGAAGUGACGGUAACUACACAGAAAGGGACGGCUAACUACGUG
rnacentral:rRNA from 1 species